GGGGAUGACGGUCAAAUCAUCAUGCCCCUUAUGACCUGGGCUACACACGUGCUACAAUGGUUGGUACAACGAGUUGCGAGUCGGUGACGGCGAGCUAAUCUCUUAAAGCCAAUCUCAGUUCGGAUUGUAGGCUGCAACUCGCCUACAUGAAGUCGGAAUCGCUAGUAAUCGCGGAUCAGCACGCCGCGGUCGAAUACGUUCCCGGGCCUU
rnacentral:rRNA from 1 species